UCGGACAUGGUGUACGGAACACCGCCAACUUUCUUCAACGACAAGCUAAGGAAGAGUCGCUGGCAGUCCGGGGUUCGACUCCCCGUGUCCGAA